GUCUGCAGUAUGAAAGUACUAAUCAGAUUGUUUAGACCCUUAAAGGGGAAGUCUACAGUAUGAAAGUACUAAUCAGAUUAUUUAGACCCUUAACCCUUUCAUGCGUGAGUUCCAAAUAUCUGUAACGGUCGCCCCAGCGUGAGUUUUUUUAUGCACGUGAUGUUAGAAUGUUCUCUCCAUUCCAGAAUGUGAUUGAUACGUAACAGUACAUUUGAUCCGCGCUGCCCUCAAACUAAAGCACGCAGCCUGUUUAUAUUUAUAGGUUGUUUUAACUUCAAUUUCUAAUGAUUUUCAAACAAGUUUUUAUUUUCUAAAAACAGUUUGAAUUUAGGUGUGUUCCGCCUCCUCAUUCAUUCACAUAAAAAUAGUCAUUUUUACUUUUGCGGAUAAUUACAUUUUUGGGACAUUUCUGAAACGGACAAAAUUCCCCAAGCACUUCCCAAUUGUUUGUGCAGUUCACGUCUUCAGACAUUUGCUCAUCUCCCGUCAGAACAGGAUCUGCACACGUGUUCACAUUUUCUAUUCCACAUUUCUAUUGUAGCGUACUGUAUGUAUGGAGUAUAAUAUAUUUGUUUAUAUUCUUUAUCACCGCGGACACGUGAGGUAACGUUACUCAUUUUAUAACCUUUAUGGUGUUAUAGUCAAUCGUGCUUAUGUAGCCACAUUCUUCUAUUAGCUCUGUAAAACAAUGCUAAAUGCGUCAGAGAAGUAUUAUCUGUGUUGCAUUUUGAAGCUACCAUGGCCUUAUGACUCUCAAGUGGUGCAGCGGUCAAAGGCACAGCACAUCAGUACUAGAGGCGUCACUACAGACUCCCUGGUUCAAAUCCAGGCUGCGUUUCCAUCAAAAAACCAGAAACAUUAUUUGCCAAUAUCAUAACUGGAGCUGGACAUCUUUGGAGCUGAAGAAUGAGGACAGCUUUUGUAUGCUAACGUACACUCCUUAACAGUUGUACUGGAUGAAAACACAGCAAGAAAACACAUAUGCCAAUAUGUAAUAUUAAUCUAUUUUAUUGCAGUACUGGUAGUUGGUUCAACAACUUGUUUUACUAGAGGACAAAAAACUGAAUAUGCAUAACCCAUAUUUAAUAUCCAUGCAGUGACUGAACAACUGCAUUUCCACCCCCAUCUCUAAGGCAUAGUAUCAUGGCUGCAACAACACUGAAUGGCGCAGAGUGGGAGGUUACGUGGUUGACUGCCGGCACGCGCUACUUGUAUCAAUAAAUCACUAUCAGAAAAUGUUUUGUGUGGUAAUUAUUUGUGUAUUUACGAUUUUAUUCACAUGUUUUCAAUUCUAGGUGACAAAUCAUGCAUUCCGAUUCUUGCACAGAUUGUAAUGGGCACAUAUUAUGUGUGUAAAAUACCUUUUUGAAGGUUGUACUGAUUAUGAUGAGCUAAGCUAAUUCCAGCUGUGUAGCCAUGUUUGUUGACAUACAAUGCAUUCUGGGAUUCACGUCUGUUUGACCAAAGAUGUUAUAACAAAAUGAGGUGAGUAAGAGUUCACUAAUUUUUUGAGGACUUCCGGAAAUUAAUGGUGGGAUAUGAACGAUGGUAGAUGACACACCCCUUCAACAUGCAUACUACAAACAGACCAAACUCAUCUCGUCUUCUCUUAUUAUCUUCGGU